GCAUAGGGCUAAUGCAUGCGGCUAUUACAUCUGCAUCUACGAACAACGUGUAAUUGCCACGAGCAUGUAUAAUUAGUCUAAGGAUACCUUUUCAGUCGAGAGAGGGGACACUUUAAAAGACGCUUCCGGGCUGGAUCUAUGCGUAGGCACGAAUAGUAUUCGCUUUAUUACACGAUGUCCCAACGAUCGUGACGGUGUUCCAGAGGAGCUUACAGAGACGUGUCGCGUUGUUCCUCGCCGUCCGGCCAUCGAUCACCGGCCUUUGCAAGGAUGUAGCUACCUUCGGACAUGUUUGGCAGAUCUGCAGCUACACUUUUUGUUUGCAGUUAUCCAUCGUGGUACAGAGAUAGAAAUACCUGGUCUAUCUUGGGAUUGUACGCGCAUAUUAGGACAGUAGAAGAAAACUCCGUGUCAAGAAAAGUUUUAUUUUUAAAACGAUUGUAAUAAGAAACAGGAAAAUGUACGCGACAUUUGUCAUAAUACAACAACUGUAAGAUGAGAGUCUGCUUCCCUGACGCCGACA
rnacentral:misc_RNA from 1 species